GCCAGCACAUCAAAGCUUCCUGCAACAAGGGAUGUUGCAUGCCAGACUGACCCACUGUAGGCACACAGUUAUCCUUGAGGACUCUUCAGCCUCACAUCAGAAGUACAGACUCUACCUGGCUACCAUGUCCUACAAUGAAAAUGCUGACCGACCACAAGCCCAAACAAAAGAAGGUGAACCACUGUUCAAGGUCCAAUUUCCAAAGGCCAUGAAGGGAGAAUGCAGAGCUAAACCAGUUAAGACUGAGCCGACAUUCUAUAAGUGUUAUAUUAUUUUAUUUUUCAACCAAAAAAUGUUUUGUACACAUUGUAUUAAGUAUUGCACGUAUAAUGUUAUGACAGUUCCACCAACAACAAAAUACAGUAAAGAAAAUGUCAGGAGGUAGUUAGAAACAGACUUUCAGUCAUUGUUUCGUAAAAAAAAACAACAAAAAAAUUAAAAAUGUAAACAAAAUCUUUUGUUUUAUCAAACAGAGAAUGUGGUGGACCUCAUAUUUGAAAAAGUCUUUGUUGACCUCGGACCAUACACAGAAGCUGUUUUGGCCAUCCCCAUCCCAGAGGACCUCACUGCACAGUUCGAGCGGCCUGAGAAGGAGGAGGUCAUAUCCAGCUCUGUGUCCCGGUUCUAUCAUGGGGCAGUCUAAAACUCAUGUACUGUCCUGUGGUGUCAGGAAACUCGGCAUGGAUGUGUAGGACCACGCAGGCUGGAAUGACAACCCAGAUUCUGCGACCAAGAAAGCCCCAGCACCAGCUCACAAAGCUCCUAUAGGCUAGAUACCUGUACCGACUAAAACAACUGGACAGGGCAUUUAGUCUUGCAAACACAUAUCUAUGUUGUGUGUCACAAUUUUUUAUAUGGAUCCAGUGAAUCCUACAGUUUUUUUAUUAUCACUGAUUAUAAGUGCCUCAUUUGAUGUAAAUAAAUGCUUGAUUGUUACUAAAGAAAUAA